rnacentral:rRNA from 1 species
GAACGCUGGCGGCGUGCUUAACACAUGCAAGUCGAACGGAAAGGCCCUUCGGGGUACUCGCGUGGCGAACGGGUGAGUAACACGUGGGUGAUCUGCCCUGCACUUUGGGAUAAGCCUGGGAAACUGGGUCUAAUACCGGAUAGGACCACGGCAUUCAUGUGCUGUGGUGGAAAGCUUUUGCGGUGUGGGAUGGGCCCGCGGCCUAUCAGCUUGUUGGUGGGGUAAUGGCCUACCAAGGCGACGACGGGUAGCCGGCCUGAGAGGGUGACCGGCCACACUGGGACUGAGAUACGGCCCAGACUCCUACGGGAGGCAGCAGUGGGGAAUAUUGCACAAUGGGCGCAAGCCUGAUGCAGCGACGCCGCGUGAGGGAUGACGGCCUUCGGGUUGUAAACCUCUUUCGCCAGGGACGAAGCGCAAGUGACGGUACCUGGAGAAGAAGGACCGGCCAACUACGUG